rnacentral:rRNA from 1 species
GGAAUAUUGCACAAUGGGCGCAAGCCUGAUGCAGCCAUGCCGCGUGUAUGAAGAAGGCCUUCGGGUUGUAAAGUACUUUCAGCGGGGAGGAAGGCGGUGAGGUUAAUAACCUUACCGAUUGACGUUACCCGCAGAAGAAGCACCGGCUAACUCCGUGCCAGCAGCCGCGGUAAUACGGAGGGUGCAAGCGUUAAUCGGAAUUACUGGGCGUAAAGCGCACGCAGGCGGUCUGUUAAGUCAGAUGUGAAAUCCCCGGGCUUAACCUGGGAACUGCAUUUGAAACUGGCAGGCUUGAGUCUUGUAGAGGGGGGUAGAAUUCCAGGUGUAGCGGUGAAAUGCGUAGAGAUCUGGAGGAAUACCGGUGGCGAAGGCGGCCCCCUGGACAAAGACUGACGCUCAGGUGCGAAAGCGUGGGGAGCAAACAGGAUUAGAUACCCCAG